rnacentral:rRNA from 1 species
GAUGAACGCUAGCGGCAGGCUUAACACAUGCAAGUCGAGGGGCAGCACAGGUAGCAAUACUGGGUGGCGACCGGCAAACGGGUGCGGAACACGUACACAAUCUACCUUUAUCUGGGGCAUAGCCCGAAGAAAUUCGGAUUAAUUCCCCAUAAUAUAUAUGAGUGGCAUCACUUGAAUAUUAAAACUCCGGUGGAUAGAGAUGAGUGUGCGUCCCAUUAGCUAGUUGGUAGGGUAACGGCCUACCAAGGCGACGAUGGGUAGCUGGUGUGAGAGCACGACCAGCCACACGGGCACUGAGACACGGGCCCGACUCCUACGGGAGGCAGCAGUGAGGAAUAUUGGUCAAUGGACGCAAGUCUGAACCAGCCAUGCCGCGUGAAGGAUGAAGGCCUUCUGGGUUGUAAACUUCUUUUAUGUGGGGAGAAAACUACGGUUUCUACUGUAGUCGACGGUACCAUAGGAAUAAGCACCGGCUAACUCCGUGCCAGCAGCCGCGGUAAAG